CUUAAUUCUCUGACACCUCAAGGAGAAUCACCUUCCAGAGGAAAGAGGAAAUCUGAGCGAGACGAUGAUGAAGAUUAUGAAGAAUUUUCCAGAAAGAAGCAGAAAGUUCCUGCAAGGAAAAAGCAACGAGCUGGGGUGCAACAAAAUCCCACAUCCAAAGGGCGUUAUGUGCGGAAAGAGCCACCAACCUAUGCAGCAGGCAGUGUGGAGGAACAGUGGUACCUGGAGAUCCUAAGUAAGGGCAGAGUUACCUGUCCAACAUGCAGAGCUGUGGUCAGGAAGACUGUAGAGGGACUGAAGAAACAUAUGGCAAAUUGCAGACAGGUGAGAGAGACAGAAUAGCACCAUCUUCCCAUUCCCUUUUUCCCCAGCUUAAUGAGUGCAGUACACAACCUUCAGACCAACAAGAACUACACCAUUUCCUUCUGUCGCAUUAAUGUGUGAGGUAUCCAUUUGUCUGUCUGUAAAUCAGUGCAAUCUAGAUUUACAAUGGCACCACUGGCACCGGCCCCACGCUCCAAAGGGGCCCUGGCCCAGCCUUUCUUCUCUGGGAAGCUUUGUGCUGCUGUGCCUGGGGCUCUGUCUUUCUGUUGCACGCAGCCCAAAGCUGCUCCUCCCCCGCCUCUUACUCGCCCCUCCUCCUCUCACUCCAUGCUCCCAAUCAGCUGUUUGGGGGGAUGGGGAGCAGCAGCAGCCGCCACCACCUGGACCCUGGGCAGGGUGAGUCUGCUUCUCCGGAAGGAAACAAUAUUUUUUCAGGCUGCUCCCUUUUCCCAGAUCUUCCUCCCCAUCGUCCUCCCCCUGCUCCCUCUGCCCGGGCCGGGACCCCUCUCCCCCUCAGAUCCCCCCUCCCAUUUCCCCACUCCUUGCCUCUGGUUCCCUGUCCUUGCUCCAACUCCUAAUGGGGGCUAGGGACCUUGCACAAGAGCACCCGUGUCCUUCCUCCCAACUCCAAUCUGGGCUAGAGUAGCAGCCAAGCUGUCCCUCCAAAUCCUGGGAGCAUCGGGCGGCUUAACACUAGUGAGGGAAAUGCCCCUUCCAAUAGCAGCUGCUGUCCCCUGAAGUGUGCAGGCAUUGGGGGUCAGGGGGCCUUAACACUGCACUCCCACCUUUACUCAUCCUCCACCACUAUAACUGGAAGGGCGGUAAAGAGUUAUUGCAUCACCUGCACUCACAAGUUUUCUUUAGCUGAAAGAGGUCACAGGACUUUGCAAAAAGAGAGAAGUGCCUGGUUUUCCCCUCAAAAGGAUAAUUAUUAACUAAAGGCAAAGUGGUGGUAUAUUUUGUGAGGGAGGCUGUGGAAAAUUCAGUCCUCUACCCCAUCUGUUCCUUGGCGCUGAACAUUUAAUAACUUUCAGGAGAGAGAGGAAGAAGUGGAGAAGAGGUGGGGGCAGGGCCUUGGGAAAGGGGCUGGAAUCGGGGCCUACCCCCUCUGGCCCCCUGCUAUGAACUGCUCAAGGUGAGGGCUGGGAGCACCCACACAACCCCAGCCCACCUCCCCAGUCCUGACCCCUGCACCCCCCCUCACAAACUCCCAACCCCCCGCCCUGA